rnacentral:rRNA from 1 species
AGUGGGGAAUUUUGGACAAUGGGGGAAACCCUGAUCCAGCCAUGCCGCGUGAGUGAAGAAGGCCUUCGGGUUGUAAAGCUCUUUUGGCCGGGAAGAAAGGGUUCGGGCGAAUAGUCUGGAUUUUUGACGGUACCGGCAGAAUAAGCACCGGCUAACUACGUGCCAGCAGCCGCGGUAAUACGUAGGGUGCGAGCGUUAAUCGGAAUUACUGGGCGUAAAGCGUGCGUAGGCGGUUCGUUAUGUCUGCUGUGAAAGCCCCGGGCUCAACCUGGGAAUGGCAGUGGAAACUGGCGGGCUUGAGUGUGGCAGAGGGGGGUGGAAUUCCGCGUGUAGCAGUGAAAUGCGUAGAGAUGCGGAGGAACACCGAUGGCGAAGGCAGCCCCCUGGGCUGACACUGACGCUGAGGCACGAAAGCGUGGGGAGCAAA